rnacentral:rRNA from 1 species
CCAGCGGAGGGAUCAUUACCGAGUUUACAACUCCCAAACCCCUGUGAACAUACCACUUGUUGCCUCGGCGGAUCAGCCCGCUCCCGGUAAAACGGGACGGCCCGCCAGAGGACCCCUAAACUCUGUUUCUAUAUGUAACUUCUGAGUAAAACCAUAAAUAAAUCAAAACUUUCAACAACGGAUCUCUUGGUUCUGGCAUCGAUGAAGAACGCAGCAAAAUGCGAUAAGUAAUGUGAAUUGCAGAAUUCAGUGAAUCAUCGAAUCUUUGAACGCACAUUGCGCCCGCCAGUAUUCUGGCGGGCAUGCCUGUUCGAGCGUCAUUUCAACCCUCAAGCCCUCGGGUUUGGUGUUGGGGAUCGGCGAGCCCUUGCGGCAAGCCGGCCCCGAAAUCUAGUGGCGGUCUCGCUGCAGCCUCCAUUGCGUAGUAGUAAAACCCUCGCAACUGGAACGCGGCGCGGCCAAGCCGUUAAACCCCCAACUUCUGAAUGUUGACCUCGGAUCAGGUAGGAAUACCCGCUGAACUUAAGCAUAUCAAUAGCCGGAGGAA